AUAGAACCAAUCUUGUUGUUAACGGAAAAAAUAGUCUAUAUUGGGAGACAAGAGACAGAAAUACCUCUGGCAGAAGGACCUCCCGCAAAGAUUGGUUUAAUCUUCUACAUAAUGCACCUAAAGAGAGAUUGAUUCCAGUAACACACAGUUUGGGAUUCUCCAGAUUCUGACUAUGAAUCCGCUUGUAACCGCGACUUCCUUUGAUCUACGAAAAUCUGCAGACAAAUUGGGCUACUUAAGUUUCUAUUAACGAAUAUACUGUCAGUACAAUAGAAGAUGUGCCAGCAACAGCGCUUCGGUUUAAAAGUUAAUCAAGCUCAGCUAGAACGUUUCCUGGAAUAGAGACGCGCAACACUUGAGACACUGGAACAGGUUGUUUCUGUUCUAAUUGCCUUGAUGUUUUGUUACUAAUGAGCUCUUGUACAGUGGGCCUCCCCGCGUUUUCUGUUGUUUGGCGUUGGUCUUCUCGAGCCCAUUGGUAAGGUUGAAGGACGCGUAAACCACCGCACAGCCUGAUUACCUUAAUGCCAUGUUUUGAAUUAACGGCGUUAAAAUUUCAAUCCAUUAACGAGAUAGCGCGAUGGCUUAUAACAAAUGACUUGUUAUUUUGGGUUCCUGGAGAGGAAAAACAGGAGGCAAAGAAGCACUCUAUUUUCAGAUGGUUGUCAUCUGUGGCGAAACAAAAACAAGAUAAUAUAUAAUAACAUCGAGGACAAAAACAAUGGUUCAAACUUAAAAAGCAUGAGGCUGCGGCCGGAAUAGUAAAUGUGUCUGAGAACGGAUAAGAAUAAAUCACACUGUGGGUGUUGGUUCUAUGGUUUCUAAAAUUUACUUCAUCGUCAAUUGAUCUUUACUUGAACUCUUUGCGAAAAAAAAUUGUUGUUUUGUCUGAUAACAGAAUUGUCUCGGCAGAAAUUUUACGAUACGAAAAAAUUGCAUUGUCCAAAUAUAACACAACAGAUGAUUAAGAUUUCGGAAAAUUUAUUGCUUAUCUGAGUUUCUCAAUUUAGAUGAAGGGGUUUAUUAAUUGCAGCGACUUAUUUUAAAAACGGUUUGUUGUAUUUUUUUAUUGAUACUUAUUUAAACUCAUCAUAGAAACGCGAGGCAAAAUUAAUACUAUAAAAACCAUAUAUAGAAGCAUGUUUUUUUUUUCCAACAAACUUUAGCAAAAAUACCCUUUCAACAAAUUAAAAUUCCAUAUAAAUCUGAUAAAAUUUUAUGUCUUUGUCAAAGAUGUUUCUGAUUCAAGGUUCGAUCCUUCAAGGUGAACGUUCAAAACAUACCGUACCUGCGUCAGGAAUAUUAACCAUUAAACAGGAAACUUGAAAAAGAAAAAACCAAAAAAACAUACUUGACACAGAAUUAUGAAAUCCGAUAAACUGUCACAUAGAACCCGGCGUCCAUAAUUAAAGGUUGUUAAUUAUGGAUAUUUUACACUUAAUGAACGUUUGAUGAUUAUGAAUUUCAAUGCGAGUGGUGUUCAUGCACCUAAGUGCUGAUUCAUCCUCCGUAUGAUUAUAAUCACGUGUCAUUAAUUAAAAGCGGUUAUCUCUUUGGAUUCUUAUGCUUCAUUGUCAAACAUCAAAGCCGCUUUAUUUUAGUUUUUUACAAAAGGCAAUCGAAAAGAUACCUUUUAUUAGACAUACCCGGUGUCGUCGAAGUAGUUUUGAAAUGACUGUUUGGUGCAAAAAAGAUAGCAAGUGGCGAACCUCCUUGACAACAUCAAAGAACAAGAAAAUAGACUGAUUAAUUUAUUUCAUGUUGUAGUUUGCGUAACAUAGACAAUAGAGGUUUUUUUUCGAAACUCGUUCGGGUUUUCAUAAACUAUUGUAACCAAACAGAUUAUGUAAUCCACAGAUGAUCAUACAAAGAUUUCCACAAAACGAUUGAUUUCUUUUUUGCAACGAAUCACACAGAGCAUUUUUGCAGUGCAAGAGUUUGCGCCUGUUUCCUAAUUCUCUAAUUUAAAUUUAACGCUUAUGUUGAACUAGCAUCCCAUCCGAGGCAAGGUGUCUGUUGGUCUUUCUUCUUGUUUUUUAUAAGUGGCUUUGAAAAAUGUAUAUUUUGUAUGUUACAGUUUCAUUUCUUUAUUAAACAUUACAUAACC
rnacentral:sRNA from 1 species